rnacentral:lncRNA from 1 species
GUUCUAGUUUGACCGUCUUCAGGACUAUAGUUCCAUAAUUACAAAUGUCGAUAUAUAGUUUUAAUUAUUUUAUAUUAUCAUUGGAGAUUAAUUAUUUUUACAUCUAUUGGGCGGAUUCUUCAUGAAAACAUCCUCUCCGAUGGCGAUACAUGUGUGAGUAUCUUCCCAUAAAUGAAUCUAAAACUAAAGAGCAAAUAAAAGCUUUACAGUAAACAAGUUGAAAGGAAGGAACACAAAUUCAAGCCUAAUUUAUGCACUAUAUAUAUUUUUUUAUGUAUUAUGGAAUAUACAUAUAUCCUUCAUCUGAAGUAAAUUCUUAAAACUUAAUAAAUUCCGAAUUCAAUAACAGCCUUUUCAGCGUAUGUUUGAUUAUUGAAUGAUUAAACAUUAUUUGAUUUCAAUACUGUAUUUUGGCAAAGUUUCUCAUAAGGGUAUUUAUUGAGUUUAACGUUUACAUAAAGAUCCCAGCCACAUCACUGCCCAAAAAAAUAAUCAAUUCCGUGAGAUAUAACUAUAUUAUUUCGUCGUUUAAAGUAGUGCCUUCAAAUUCUUCUGGUCACGGAUAGCUUUUAUGCUUCCACUCCCGAGUCUCUCCAGUUAACUUGUAGAUUUUUUCAAUACAUCUUACGCUUUGAUAAUUGAACGAUGUCUCCUUAUAAGAAAAGGAAAAUCCCUGAAAGUGCUAAAGUUAAAUGAACCCCAAGCUUAUCCUUCCCAAACUGUGCCCAAAACAUUCAAUGAAAUAUUUGUCUACUUUCUUCACUCCAAAAGAAAAACACAUACUUAGAUAUUUUAAUAUCAAUAUAUAAGGCAAGGUCCGAAAGACUGCUUUGCCGGGAAAACUUCUAACGGGGAAAUGGAUGAAGGAAUUUUACAACUCAUAUGAUAAUCAAUUGAACUAUCUUAAUGCUAUUCAAAUAAUUAAGGAAGUUGUCAAACGAUUAAAAAAUAGUUUUUUAGAUCCUAUAUCGAUUUAUAAAUCAAAUAAUGAUUUAUUUGGGUAACCAUUAGUUAUGGAGAGCACCUUCCGUAAACUUCAAAUAAUUCAAAUUAAUUAUUCCUUCAAUGAUUUGAUGAAAGCUUGGAUUUCUUCCACAAUAGUUGAGUUAGAGAGGCAAAAUAAACAUUAUUUUGAAUUAGACAUUGAUAACUUAUCUGGAAGAUUGAAGGAAGAAAUUAUGUCGGCAAGGUCCCACAACAUGCAAGCUGAAGAACUUAUUUGUAUGUUUUCAGCAAUAAAAAAUAAAUCUUUAAGUGCUACUAUACAUUAUUUAGAAAAGAUCCAUACUCAACUUAGAGAAGACAUCAUAACAAAAAGUGUAAAA